GGUCCUACGGGACACAGCAGUGGGGAAUAUUGGGCAAUGGGCGCAAGCCUGACCCAGCAACGCCGCGUGAAGGAAGAAGGCUUUCGGGUUGUAAACUUCUUUUAAGAGGGAAGAGUAGAAGACGGUACCUCUUGAAUAAGCCACGGCUAACUACGUGCCAGCAGCCGCGGUAAUACGUAGGUGGCAAGCGUUAUCCGGAUUUACUGGGUGUAAAGGGCGUGUAGGCGGGACUGCAAGUCAGAUGUGAAAAUUAUGGGCUCAACCCAUAACCUGCAUUUGAAACUGUAGUUCUUGAGUGAUGGAGA
rnacentral:rRNA from 1 species